ensembl:lncRNA
UGUUUUGCCCGGAAAGAGACAUUUUGUCGACCUGUGGAAGAAGCAUUUUUUCACAGUUUUGUGUUGAAGAAGAAUUGCAGAAACGUGAUUUGAGGUAAGAGAAACUGAAAUGUCUUUUCUUUUUGUAGGCGUAAAUAUCCAGUCAUUUUUACAUUCCUGAGAGGUGUAUGUCAAGCAAAAACUGAAAUUGUUUACUGAACGUUAGAUGUUCUUAAAUGGGAAUAAAAGUUUUUCAUGCCUUUUGGUGUUGUAAAUUUAUAAUGUAUAUAAGUGUUCUAAAGUGGUAUGAUCCAUUUGAAUCAAUUAAAAUAUUAUUAACUCUGAAAUAAACCCAAAAGUGUAAUUUUAUGUCGUACAAUUAAAAAAAAAAAAAAAUUAUUUAAAUUAAAUUUAAAGUUUGUUAUUUAGCACAUUUUGAAAUGAUGUAAACAGUCAUGAGUAGUUGGGGGUGUUAUUUGAUUGUGAAUAAUUAUUUAUUUAUUAGUCUGAUCAAGUUGGUAUCGCUUCAAAAUGCUUUUGAACUGCUGUGUGUGUACACACAUAGACUUGUAUAUGUAGUCAUGAUAUAAUGUAAUGUUGAAAAUUUGGAAAAAAUAACCUUAAUUUUAAUUUCUUUAUAUAGAAAAUAAAAAAACUAUAUUAUACUGAUUUAAUUUGAUACAUUAUGUAAGUAAAAAAUAGGGUAAAGGUAUUUCAAAUGCAAACAAUCAGAGGUAGAUU